UUAAGCGACUAAGCGUACACGGUGGAUGCCCUGGCAGUCAGAGGCGAUGAAGGACGUGCUAAUCUGCGAUAAGCGUCGGUAAGGUGAUAUGAACCGUUAUAACCGGCGAUUUCCGAAUGGGGAAACCCAGUGUGUUUCGACACACUAUCAUUAACUGAAUCCAUAGGUUAAUGAGGCGAACCGGGGGAACUGAAACAUCUAAGUACCCCGAGGAAAAGAAAUCAACCGAGAUUCCCCCAGUAGCGGCGAGCGAACGGGGAGCAGCCCAGAGCCUGAAUCAGUGUGUGUGUUAGUGGAAGCGUCUGGAAAGGCGUGCGAUACAGGGUGACAGCCCCGUACACAAAAAUGCACAUGCUGUGAGCUCGAUGAGUAGGGCGGGACACGUGGUAUCCUGUCUGAAUAUGGGGGGACCAUCCUCCAAGGCUAAAUACUCCUGACUGACCGAUAGUGAACCAGUACCGUGAGGGAAAGGCGAAAAGAACCCCGGCGAGGGGAGUGAAAAAGAACCUGAAACCGUGUACGUACAAGCAGUGGGAGCACGCUUAGGCGUGUGACUGCGUACCUUUUGUAUAAUGGGUCAGCGACUUAUAUUCUGUAGCAAGGUUAACCGAAUAGGGGAGCCGAAGGGAAACCGAGUCUUAACUGGGCGUUAAGUUGCAGGGUAUAGACCCGAAACCCGGUGAUCUAGCCAUGGGCAGGUUGAAGGUUGGGUAACACUAACUGGAGGACCGAACCGACUAAUGUUGAAAAAUUAGCGGAUGACUUGUGGCUGGGGGUGAAAGGCCAAUCAAACCGGGAGAUAGCUGGUUCUCCCCGAAAGCUAUUUAGGUAGCGCCUCGUGAAUUCAUCUCCGGGGGUAGAGCACUGUUUCGGCAAGGGGGUCAUCCCGACUUACCAACCCGAUGCAAACUGCGAAUACCGGAGAAUGUUAUCACGGGAGACACACGGCGGGUGCUAACGUCCGUCGUGAAGAGGGAAACAACCCAGACCGCCAGCUAAGGUCCCAAAGUCAUGGUUAAGUGGGAAACGAUGUGGGAAGGCCCAGACAGCCAGGAUGUUGGCUUAGAAGCAGCCAUCAUUUAAAGAAAGCGUAAUAGCUCACUGGUCGAGUCGGCCUGCGCGGAAGAUGUAACGGGGCUAAACCAUGCACCGAAGCUGCGGCAGCGACACUAUGUGUUGUUGGGUAGGGGAGCGUUCUGUAAGCCUGCGAAGGUGUGCUGUGAGGCAUGCUGGAGGUAUCAGAAGUGCGAAUGCUGACAUAAGUAACGAUAAAGCGGGUGAAAAGCCCGCUCGCCGGAAGACCAAGGGUUCCUGUCCAACGUUAAUCGGGGCAGGGUGAGUCGACCCCUAAGGCGAGGCCGAAAGGCGUAGUCGAUGGGAAACAGGUUAAUAUUCCUGUACUUGGUGUUACUGCGAAGGGGGGACGGAGAAGGCUAUGUUGGCCGGGCGACGGUUGUCCCGGUUUAAGCGUGUAGGCUGGUUUUCCAGGCAAAUCCGGAAAAUCAAGGCUGAGGCGUGAUGACGAGGCACUACGGUGCUGAAGCAACAAAUGCCCUGCUUCCAGGAAAAGCCUCUAAGCAUCAGGUAACAUCAAAUCGUACCCCAAACCGACACAGGUGGUCAGGUAGAGAAUACCAAGGCGCUUGAGAGAACUCGGGUGAAGGAACUAGGCAAAAUGGUGCCGUAACUUCGGGAGAAGGCACGCUGAUAUGUAGGUGAAGUCCCUCGCGGAUGGAGCUGAAAUCAGUCGAAGAUACCAGCUGGCUGCAACUGUUUAUUAAAAACACAGCACUGUGCAAACACGAAAGUGGACGUAUACGGUGUGACGCCUGCCCGGUGCCGGAAGGUUAAUUGAUGGGGUUAGCCGCAAGGCGAAGCUCUUGAUCGAAGCCCCGGUAAACGGCGGCCGUAACUAUAACGGUCCUAAGGUAGCGAAAUUCCUUGUCGGGUAAGUUCCGACCUGCACGAAUGGCGUAAUGAUGGCCAGGCUGUCUCCACCCGAGACUCAGUGAAAUUGAACUCGCUGUGAAGAUGCAGUGUACCCGCGGCAAGACGGAAAGACCCCGUGAACCUUUACUAUAGCUUGACACUGAACAUUGAGCCUUGAUGUGUAGGAUAGGUGGGAGGCUUAGAAGUGUGGACGCCAGUCUGCAUGGAGCCGACCUUGAAAUACCACCCUUUAAUGUUUGAUGUUCUAACGUUGACCCGUAAUCCGGGUUGCGGACAGUGUCUGGUGGGUAGUUUGACUGGGGCGGUCUCCUCCUAAAGAGUAACGGAGGAGCACGAAGGUUGGCUAAUCCUGGUCGGACAUCAGGAGGUUAGUGCAAUGGCAUAAGCCAGCUUGACUGCGAGCGUGACGGCGCGAGCAGGUGCGAAAGCAGGUCAUAGUGAUCCGGUGGUUCUGAAUGGAAGGGCCAUCGCUCAACGGAUAAAAGGUACUCCGGGGAUAACAGGCUGAUACCGCCCAAGAGUUCAUAUCGACGGCGGUGUUUGGCACCUCGAUGUCGGCUCAUCACAUCCUGGGGCUGAAGUAGGUCCCAAGGGUAUGGCUGUUCGCCAUUUAAAGUGGUACGCGAGCUGGGUUUAGAACGUCGUGAGACAGUUCGGUCCCUAUCUGCCGUGGGCGCUGGAGAACUGAGGGGGGCUGCUCCUAGUACGAGAGGACCGGAGUGGACGCAUCACUGGUGUUCGGGUUGUCAUGCCAAUGGCACUGCCCGGUAGCUAAAUGCGGAAGAGAUAAGUGCUGAAAGCAUCUAAGCACGAAACUUGCCCCGAGAUGAGUUCUCCCUGACUCCUUGAGAGUCCUGAAGGAACGUUGAAGACGACGACGUUGAUAGGCCGGGUGUGUAAGCGCAGCGAUGCGUUGAGCUAACCGGUACUAAUGAACCGUGAGGCUUAACCU
rnacentral:rRNA from 1 species